CCUCUAAGCAUCAGGUAACAUCAAAUCGUACCCCAAACCGACACAGGUGGUCAGGUAGAGAAUACCAAGGCGCUUGAGAGAACUCGGGUGAAGGAACUAGGCAAAAUGGUGCCGUAACUUCGGGAGAAGGCACGCUGACAUGUAGGUGAAGUGAUUUACUCAUGGAGCUGAAGUCAGUCGAAGAUACCAGCUGGCUGCAACUGUUUAUUAAAAACACAGCACUGUGCAAACACGAAAGUGGACGUAUACGGUGUGACGCCUGCCCGGUGCCGGAAGGUUAAUUGAUGGGGUCAGCGCAAGCGAAGCUCCUGAUCGAA
rnacentral:rRNA from 1 species